rnacentral:tRNA from 1 species
UGAUAGUGGUUGAAAUAUUUUUCAAAAUAAUAAUUGAUGUUAAUUUUAAGUUGAGAUAA